rnacentral:rRNA from 1 species
GACAAACGCUGGCGGCGUGUCUUAAGCAUGCAAGUUGAGCGGCAAGGAGGAGGAAUCCUCCCUAGAGCGGCGGACUGGUGAGUAACGCGUGGGUAAUCUAUCAUAGGCAUGGGGAUAGUCACUAGAAAUAGUGGGUAAUACCGAAUACGUUCCAUGAGGGGAGGACUCAUGGAAGAAAGGGUGCUACGGCACUGGCCUUAGGUGAGCUCGCGUCCCAUUAGCUAGUUGGUGAGGUAAAGGCCCACCAAGGCGAUGAUGGGUAGCCGGCCUGAGAGGGUGUACGGCCACACUGGGACUGAGAUACGGCCCAGACUCCGUACGGGAGGCAGCAGCUAAGAAUAUUCCGCAAUGGACGGAAGUCUGACGGAGCGACGCCGCGUGGAUGAAGAAGGACCGAAAGGUUGUAAAGUUCUUUUGCUAGGGGAGAAUAAGUGUGGGAGGGAAUGCCUGCACGAUGACAAGGACUAGCGAAUAAGUCCCGGCCAACUACGUG